rnacentral:rRNA from 1 species
UAUUGCACAAUGGGGGAAACCCUGAUGCAGCGACGCCGCGUGAGCGAAGAAGUAUUUCGGUAUGUAAAGCUCUAUCAGCAGGGAAGAAAAAAAUGACGGUACCUGAGUAAGAAGCACCGGCUAAAUACGUGCCAGCAGCCGCGGUAAUACGUAUGGUGCAAGCGUUAUCCGGAUUUACUGGGUGUAAAGGGAGCGUAGGCGGCCUGGCAAGUCUGGGGUGAAAACCCGGGGCCCAACCCCGGGAGUGCAUUGGAAACUGCCAGGCUGGAGUGCCGGAGGGGCAGGCGGAAUUCCUAGUGUAGCGGUGAAAUGCGUAGAUAUUAGGAGGAACACCGGUGGCGAAGGCGGCCUGCUGGACGGCAACUGACGCUGAGGCUCGAAAGCGUGGGGAGCA